AACUCCUGACCUCAAGUGAUCAUCCUGCCUUGGCCUCCGAAAGUUCUGGGAUUACAGGCAUGAAUCAUGAUGCCCGCUCCAGUACUAUGAUUUUUUAUACUGUUGUUUAAACACCACAGGACAUUAUUAUUGUUUUAUGAAUCUAUAUAUUCAUUUAUAUUUUUCUUCACAUUUACCCCUUUGUAUAUUUCUUCAUUCCAUUUUGCAUCUGGUAAUUCUUUCAUCAUCUUGGCAGUAUUACUUUUCUUUUGGAGUUCUACUGUUUCUGUUGCAAAGUCAUCUGUGAAUCUUAUUCCUUUUAAGAAAAUGUGUACCCUACCCCACUCUACCCCCAGCUGCUUUUAUUUUCCCUUUGUUUUGGGUUUUAAACAGUUUUACUAUGAUGUCUCUAGGUGAAUCUGUGAUUUGGUGUCUUUCAUUAUUUUUGGAAAAUUCUCAGGCAUAAUCUCUUCUUCUAUCACUUUUGCCCCAAUUGUCUCUUUCCUCGCCUACUCAGGGCUUUUCACCAUUAGCCAUACGUGUGUUAGAUUCUUUUCUGUUUUGUUGUUUUAUUCGUUUUUUCUCUUCAUGCUCAUUCUGGAUUUUUAUUGACCUAUUUUGUAAUUCACUGAACUUGUCUUCAGCUAUGUCUAAGCUGUCAUUUAACUCAUUUACUGCGUUCUUAAUUUCAGUUCUAUUAUUUUUAAUUUCUACAAGUUCCAUUUAAUUAUUUUUACUGAUUUGGACCCUCUGCUGAAAUUCAUCAUCUUGUAUAUUUUCUAGAGCAUAUUAAUUACAGUUACUUACAAGUAAUUUGGAAGCCCAUGCUUGAUAAUUCUUAAUACAGUUUCCACUUUUCUAUUUUCAGUCAUUUGGUCUUAUCUUUUAGCAUGGUCAAUAAUUUUUGUCUGAAUGCCUGACAUGUGAAUGAAAAAUUAUUGAGUUGAUGACAUUAACUCUUGAUACUAUCUUUUUUUCACAGACAGUUUUCUUUUUGCUUCUAGCAAACAGUUUGGAUAAGAGCAGAUCAGUGUGGCAAUUAGCUGAUGAAACAGCUGAGCUUUAGUCCUUUUGAGGGUUGGUAUAUUUACUUUUCAUUCAAGGUUCUUUCACCUUGAUUGAUCCUGAACUUGUUUUUGUAUUCCCAGACAUGUAAGACAGCCUAAAAUUCUGCUCACCUUUUCAACCUCUGGUCCUCUGUUUUCUGCUCAUUAUUUCCCACUAUUUAGCUUCUUAGCCUUAGGCUACUGCUUAUGAAUUGGCAGUUGCCUCAAGGGGAAAACAGGUGCUAAAUGUCAUUCUCACCUUUGCACUUCCCUUUUGGACACGGUCUUGACCCUUCAAUUUCUUACUACCUUGGUGGCUCUCUUGUUUAAGCGGAUAUCCUCAUCUAUGUUUCUGUAUCUGUAAGUGUAUCUCAUUUUUGAGUAGAGUCACUGGCCUGACAAAAGUAUAUUCUAGCCAAAAUAAGAGAAGUCCCCACAAUUUGUUUAAUGACAAAAGCUCCACUAGAGAGAAGCAGUUACCUAGAUAAGUCUUAGAAUGUCAAUUCCAUUCUUUCUCUUUGCUUUUUGUGGAUAAUGUAUAACCUUUAUAGCAGUCAUAUAUGCACAUACAAUGUUUUGGUAUCCCUGCUUGAGCACUUUUGGAAAACCUUUACCAUCUGUGCCUUAAAUCCAUGUAGAGCUUGUGAACACAAAAUAUGUGAGACAGGUCUCAGUCAAUUUAGGAAGUUUAUUUUGCCAAAGUUAAGGAUGUGCCCAUGGCAUAGCUUCAGGAAGUCCUGAGACACGUGCCCAAGGUGUUUGGGGGUACAGUUUGCUUUUAUACAUUUUAGGGAGACAUGAGACAGCUAUGUGUAAGAUGUACAUUAGUUCAGUCCGGUAAGGCAGGACAACUCGAAGUGGCCCCGUUAGAAGUAGGUAAGACGCAAAAGGUUGCAUUCUUUUAAGUCGUAGAUCAGCCUUCCACUGAAUACACAAUUUAGUCUGGUUCAGUGGAUCUGCAUUUUCACAGAAACAAUAGGAGAGAGGAAGCAAUCAGAUAUGCGUUUGUUUCAGGUGAGCCUCAGACGGAUGACUUUGAAUAGAAGGGGAGGCAGGUUUGCCCUAAGCAGCUCCCAGCUUGACUCUUCCCAUUAGCUUAGUGAUUUUGGGGUCCCUAGAUUUAUUUUACUUUCACAAGCUUUUAUAUGCAGUCACCAACUCAAGCUUAGCUACACAGAGGCUGGGAUGUGAAAGCACUGGUUAAGUCAGCUGUGGAUCGCACAUGCCCUUUCUAUCUGAUCUCUUCAAACCAGGAUACCAUCUGGCUUGGUUCAGAAACUUUCACUGUAUACUUUAGUUUGAAUUUAACUUUUUUUUUUUUUUAACCUUCGAUACUUUGGCUGACUUUAUGACUAUUUUAAUUCACAAAAGAGACUCACCUUAAGAGACAUUAUAAUACUCAAUUUAUUGCAGGGUAAGAAAACAUAAACAAGUCAAUCCGUGGGCUAAAGUUUUUCUUUGGCCAAAUCGUCACCAUUGUCUUUAUUAAGACUAGGACACCCUUUAAAAGGGCUUCCUGACUAAGUAACGAUUGCCUUUCACUUCACUGUACACCCCUCCACUCUCCAGAUAAGUUCAUCAGUUUAACUUCAUCCAAUAUACACAAGUGAAUGCACCUUAAUUAAUUAGCAGAAAUACUAAUUGAUACACAUUUAUUCUUAAAUCCUAGAUGCAGUAUGUACCCUUAUAUCUAAAAGAGAGGUUAGCACAAUAGUGCACACCAAGACAUUUCAAGAGGUACUUGUGCAAGGAGAAUUUUAAUCCAUUUUCAUUUCCUCCACUUCCUCGAUACUCUUUCCAAAAUUUGAUCUUCCCAUUUAUAUACCUGUCUCAGACUGGUUCUCUUUUCCCACCUGCCCCUUUCACAUAUGUCCUUUUUUAAAAGAAAGGCAUAAUUUUCACCCAUCUUUCUCAGUUUCACCAUUGUCAAGGUGGGAAAAGCAAAACAAACAAACAAAAAACCCUUCCAGUCUAUACAGGUCAUUUGAAAAUGUGUUGAGAAAGAGACUCCAAUAAUGGCUAACCCUUUUUUGCAACUCACUGGUUUUCAGUUAUUUGCUUUCAAUAAAAUUAAACAAAAGCCUAGGCAGGCUGUCAGCCAUUAAAUCAUUAAAAUUUAUUUCAUUUUUGACGUAUUACUAAAAAAAUUGAUGGAUGCAGUGGCACUGAGUGACAAAGAAUUGAAUUAUUACAAAUCUCCAUUCUCUGGAUAAAGAAAAUGUACUACAUAGUGGAGUGCUAUUCAGCCAUAAAAAAGAAUGAGAUUCUGUCAUUUGCAACAACAUGGAUGGAACUGGACGUUAUUACGCUAAGUGACUUAAGCCAGGCAUAGGAAGGCAAACAUUGCAUGUUCUCACUUAUUUGUGGGAUCUAAAAAUCAAAACAAUUGAACUCAUGGACAUAGGGAGUAGAAGGAUGGUUACCAGAGACUGAGAAGGGUAAUGACACAGGGGGUGGGGUGGGGGUUGGAGGUGGGGAUGGUUAAUAGGUACAAAAAAAUAGAAUGAAUAAUACCUAGUAUUUGAUAGCACAACAAGGUGACUAUAGUCAAUAAUAAUUUAAUUUACAAGUUAGAAUAACUAGAGGAAUAUAAUUGUAUUGUUUGUAACACAAAGGAUAAAUGCUUGUGGGGAUGGCUACCCCAUUUUACAUGAUAUGAUUAUUACACACUGCUUGCCUGUAUCAAAAAUCUCAUGUACCCCAUAAAUAUAUACACCCAUGUACCCAUGAAAAUUAAAAGUUAAAACAAAAACGGAACAAAACUACAUUCUCAUCUAUUUGUUUUACAUUAAAAAUGAUCUCAUCUAUAGAUAGGAAAAAUGGGAAUGUAAUUUAUGUUGACUGCUAUGUCAUGCUAGUUAUAAAUCAUAUAUACCCACGGAAAGAUGAACUAAAAAAAACACUACAAAUUGGUCUUGAUUCUCAGAUGAAUUUCCAGUAAGAUUUUUAAUGUUUUAUGUGUAAUACUUGUGUGUAAAAAUAUUCAUGUUUGUGAUAUUAUCUACUGCAUUCUAAUAGUUACUGUAAUAAUUUAGAAAAAAGUUAUUUUUAAUACUUAUAGCCUUUUAGUUAUAGGAAAUUUUUUAAAUUUCAAUUUAUAUUCGUUUCAGAGAAGUACCUUAGGAGAUAAAUAUUUUAAGCAGUAAAAUAUACUAUAAUUCUGUGAGGAAAGCAAAAUAUAAACAAAGAUCCAGUGAAUGAUGUUUAAUGUCUCACUAUUGAAGAGCUUGUUUAUGUAUUAUGUUGAUAAUGGUGGGAAUCAAAUUGCUAUGGUACUUAGAUUCUAUUAGAUACAUUUAAAAGAAUGACAAAAGUUUUUAUUUUUGAAAAUGUAAAUAUUUACAGUAUGCCACUUGAAAUUAUCUUAUUUGCACUUACUUAAAUUUAUGAUGAUAAAUGUUAGUUAUCAACUUAAAAAUACAUGAAAGUGUACAUUCUUAAAUUUUAUUUAGAGGUAUGUAGGUGAUAAAGUUUGAAGAUACUCUUCUGGCAAAUAUGGUAAGUGAAAGUUUAGCAGGUUCCCAGACCAGAGUUAAACACACCAGCAGAUCUUUAUUGACUAUCUUAUAGAAAUUUAAAAAUAUCUCUCAACUUUAGAUUUGGUGUUAGGGAAUCUAUCAUGAAUAGAAUCUCACACUGUCUUGCAGGUGAGCCAACCAAGUCCUAAUGCUAGAAAUGUUGAAAAAACUGCCUUACUCCUUGGGUGAGAUCUUCCAGAGACUCUGUUGCUAGGAAUCUAGCCACUGCUGGAAAAAAGGGAGAAAUGAAAUAGAAAUUGUAUGUAAUCAAAGCCUAAUUCUUCCCUAGUAAUAGAACUGACAGCUUUUACAAAGUGAAAAGAUUACAUUUUCUAUCACAGAAAGAAUGUAUUAUUAAAAGUGGUUUUGUAGCUGUUUGUCACAAGAUUAUAAUUAAGUAGUUACAUUUUUGGAAAGCACUUCCCUUCAUUUAACAUCCCCUUAUCCCAAUACGUACUCCCUCUCAUGCCUGCAUAACAUGAGCUUUGUCAUAGUCUGCUUGACAGUAGUUUUGAAGACAGUGCCUAUAAAUUUCACAUCUUAUUUUGUUUUCUUGUCUUAGCUGGGAAGACUUCUUAGUAAGCAGUUACCUUUGUCUUUUGAUUGACUUUAAAAUGGAAUAUUUUAAGUCAUUAAAUGUGAUGUACCCCAGCUUUGAGCUACUUCCAAUAUAUUAGGUUAGGAAGUUUCUAUUUGCUUAUAUUUUUAAGUCCUGAGUGGAUGAUGAGUUUUAUAAAAUGCUUUUCCUACUUCUAUUAAGAUGGCAAGUGUUUCCCCCCUCCCCUCCUCUCUAUUACGGUGGAUUACAUAAUUUUGAACCACCCUUGCAUUCUGGGAUAAACCCAAAUUGGUCAUGAUCAGUAGUAUUACUAAUAAUAUACUUGUAGAUUUAAAAUAUUUUAUUUUUCAAAUUUUGAAUCUUCAUUUACAAAUAAACUAUAAUUUUUCUUGUUCUGUAUAUUCAUAAGUGAGAUUAAUUUUCAAUUAUAUUCAUAAUUUUUUGUUUUUUGUCAUUUUGUUUUUAUUUUUUGAAAUAAAUGUCUACAUGUA